rnacentral:tRNA from 1 species
GACUCGUUAGCUCAGUUGGUAGAGCAAUUGACUUUUAAAUCAAUGGGUCACUGGUUUCGAGCCAGUACGGGUCA